AACCGAGAACUCCUACGGGAGGCAGCAGUGGGGAAUUUUGGACAAUGGGCGCAAGCCUGAUCCAGCAAUGCCGCGUGCAGGAAGAAGGCCUUCGGGUUGUAAACUGCUUUUGUCAGGGAAGAAAUCCUUUGGGCUAAUACCUCGGAGGGAUGACGGUACCUGAAGAAUAAGCACCGGCUAACUACGUGCCAGCAGCCGCGGUAAUACGUAGGGUGCGAGCGUUAAUCGGAAUUACUGGGCGUAAAGCGUGCGCAGGCGGUUGUGUAAGUCAGACGUGAAAUCCCCGGGCUCAACCUGGGAAUUGCAUUUGAGACUGGACGGCUAGAGUGUGUCAGAGGGGGGUAGAAUUCCACGUGUAGCAGUGAAAUGCGUAGAUAUGUGGAGGAAUACCGAUGGCGAAGGCAGCCCCCUGGGAUAACACUGACGCUCAUGCACGAAAGCGUGGGGAGCAAACAGGAUUAGAAACCCCAGUAGUCCGACUGAGA
rnacentral:rRNA from 1 species